rnacentral:rRNA from 1 species
UACGAAGGGGGGCUAGCGUUGCUCGGAAUCACUGGGCGUAAAGCGCACGUAGGCGGAUUGUUAAGUCAGGGGGUGAAAUCCUGGAGCUCAACUCCAGAACUGCCUUUGAUACUGGCGAUCUCGAGUCCGGGAGAGGUGAGUGGAACUGCGAGUGUAGAGGUGAAAUUCGUAGAUAUUCGCAAGAACACCAGUGGCGAAGGCGGCUCACUGGCCCGGUAC